GGCGGACGGGUGAGUAAUGCGUAGGAAGCUACCCGAUAGAGGGGGAUACCAGUUGGAAACGACUGUUAAUACCGCAUAAUGUCUACGGACCAAAGUGUGGGACCUUCGGGCCACAUGCUAUCGNNNGCGCCUACGUGGGAUUAGCUAGUUGGUGAGGUAAUGGCUCACCAAGGCGACGAUCCCUAGCUGGUUUGAGAGGAUGAUCAGCCACACUGGAACUGAGACACGGUCCAGACUCCUACGGGAGGCAGCAGUGGGGAAUAUUGGACAAUGGGCGCAAGCCUGAUCCAGCCAUGCCGCGUGUGUGAAGAAGGCCUUCGGGUUGUAAAGCACUUUCAGUAGGGAGGAAGCGUUGUGUGUUAAUAGUACACAGCGUUGACGUUACCUACAGAAGAAGCACCGGCUAACUCUGUGCCAGCAGCCGCGGUAAUACAGAGGGUGCAAGCGUUAAUCGGAAUUACUGGGCGUAAAGCGCACGUAGGCGGUCUUUUAAGUCAGAUGUGAAAGCCCCGGGCUCAACCUGGGAAUUGCAUUUGAAACUGGAAAACUAGAGUGUGUGAGAGGGGGGUAGAAUUCCAAGUGUAGCGGUGAAAUGC
rnacentral:rRNA from 1 species